rnacentral:rRNA from 1 species
AUGUUGGUGAUGGGCGUCGUCUUGGCGAGCUCCGCGCCGCCAUCCACCGCGGCACGGCAGCGGCAUCCUUGCGAGCUCCACGCCUCUGUCCUCCAUGGCACCGGUUUGGUGAUAUUGGCGUUGGUGUCGUCUUGGCGAGCUCCGCGCCGCUAUCCACCGCCGAACGGCGGCGCCAUCGUUGCGAGCGUCCACGCCUUUGUCCUCCAUGGCACUGACAUGAUGAAGAAGAAGACAUGCGUCGUCCUAGCGAGCUCCGUCUUGCCUUCCUCCGCGGCACACGGCGGAAUCCCUGCGAGCUCCACGCCUCCGGGCUCCAGCUUGACGAAGUAG